rnacentral:snRNA from 1 species
GUUUGUAAGAACGGACAUGUCAUGUGACAUCUGUCACCCCAUUGAUCGCCCGGGUUGAUUCGGCUGAUCUGGCUGGCUAGGCGGGUGUCCCCCUCCUCCCUCACCGACCCAUGUGCGUCCCUCCCGAAGCUGCGCGAUCAGUCGAAGAGGACGACCUCCGCUCCCCCCAGAGGACCGGUCUUCGGUCAAGGGUAUACGAGUAGCUGCGCCGCCCUGCUAGAACCUCCAAACAAGCUCUCAAGAAAUAUCCAGGGGAGACAGAGUAAAAUUUAAAACGAGUUUGGCCUAUAUUCAGUCUUAAAAGUUUCAUGAAAAUAUAAAACU